GGGUCAGUAGGUUGGUCGUGCCACCGGUACGUACUGGUCUCACUGAUUCCUCCUUCCUGAAGAACCGUAAUGCCAUUAAUUUUGUGUUGCGGGGAGACAGGACUGUUACUUUGAAAAAAUUAGAGUGUUUAAAGCAAGCUAACGCUUGAAUACAUUAGCAUGGAAUAAUGAAAUAGGACGAUCGAUCCUAUUUUGUUGGUUUCUAGGAUUGACGUA
rnacentral:rRNA from 1 species